GCCUUUAUAGCUCAGUGGAAGAGCGUCGGUCUCGUAAGAGUUGAAGGAAAACCGAAGGUCGAGACUCGAGAGUUCAAUCCUCUCUGAAGGCA
rnacentral:tRNA from 1 species